CACAUGCUAUCUAAGCAUUAGCGACCAUUCACAAUAUCCAGUUAUAUUGGCAUUGCUCAUUAGUACUUGCUCUGAAGGUAUGCUAGGCAAACAUUGGGCUUCCCACAAAUUCAGAUGGUAAUCUUUGCCUAUUUUUAUCAGAGUUAAAGACUGAAGAAAUUUGGUAAGUAUUCUAGAUGUUACAGGCAACACCUGGUGACAGCAAUUCCCCCUCCACUUUUUCUCAAGAAGGCAAUGGCUCAGGUCAGUGAAGCUCUUCCGGUGUCUGGCUCAAGUGACCAUAUUUCAUUUACAGACCCAAACUACCAUAAGGUCAAAUCUUAUUUUUCUUUCACACGACACCCAAACUUUCCAUCAAGGAUUAGUUUGUCGGGAUCUAAAGAAAGAACAACACUGAUUGUUUUUCUCUGUAUCCCAAGAAAGUUGAGAUUAACUGCAGUGUCACCAUUGUCAUUCUGGCCGAGCUCAGCUAACAGAAAUGACCCCAUGGAUCAAACACCAAGACUUUCCUGAUCAAUAUAGUUCUGCAUAAAAACCACUGAGCUAUCAGCCUGAAGGACAGUUUUAACACCAUCUUGUUUGUGAUGUUGAGUAGUAUUUUACAAGGAAUUGGGGAUUAAGUAACCACCCCACCCCGACCAUUGCGGUAAUGCGAUGUUCUAGACACAAUUGCAAUCACAUCUUCAAUCUCCAUUUUUUUUACAUUUAUUUAAUGAGGUUGCAAAGUAAGAUCUUUGACAUGGUGCUGUCUUCUAUUUAAGAAUUCAAGACAUCACCCAUUAGCUACUCACCACAGUGAAUUUGGUCUGCUGGUGGCCAUUUUUACCAUUGGCAAGUCUUCCUUUCACUGGCCCUUUAUUCAGUUCUCAAAUUUACCAAAGCACAUUUCCAAAGUUCGAGAGAUGGACACUUCCCAUGUGAAUUAUGUCCCAGAAGCUUGGGUACCUUUUCCCAAUGUUUAGCCAAUUAUCCUAUGGGUAUAUAUGAUUAGCUUAUUCCUCUUCAAAAACAUAUAACACCCAGGUUUACAAUGUCUUGAAAUCUGUAAGGUUCAUGUCACGUGGUUUGAGAUAAAUUUUGCACUUUGUGCUGCUCAUCAACUACACUGGGCCCAAUAACUUAUUUCCUAAAUUCAGACUAUUGUUCAGCAUUACUUGUCACACUGUACAUAAGGAUUUGUCCUGUUCCCACAGCCAAUCUCACAUGCUGGAGAUAUUCAUUUUGUACUCAGUGUUGUUAUUCUCCUCGGCACUGUCCAUUAUUUUCACAGUAAAGGAAUGGGAUGUAAAUAGCUAGAACCACGUGCUAGCCUCAUGUAGGUGUCUACAUGCUCUGCUGAGAGCGUGUGAAGCAUCAGACCGCCUGCAGCAGAAUAAGCCGACAUAUGCAAUAGGAAAAAUAUCCUUUAAGUCAUAUGUACAUCCUGAUCGUGCAAAUUACAAAAAAAAUUAUAGCGAAUACCUCUCCCUCAUGAGCAAACAUGUGACAAUGGAGAAGGACAAUGCCAUCGAAUAGAAUGCAUCCAAAGUAAAGGGGGAAUCAAAGCUCAAGACCUUUUGCCUAUUGUUCUUUCCCUUAGCUUAUUCCAAUUCAGAGGUGAACACUCCUAGGAUAUCAAGCCAAGAUCAUUUCCUAACUUCAGCUGUUUCAUGGGAGCAGGUGAAUCCUUUAUCUUGAAACUAUGAACACAUCAUCCUCCACAGGAAGCGUCAGACACUUGGAACAGCGUGAUGAGGAUGAUGCAGCACUCAAUACAUUUGUCUAGCAACUGUCAGUAUAAGUACUGCUCACCAUCUGGCUGCUCUGGAUAUUCUGAGCACUGCUGGAGUCACACACAAACCGACCGAAUAAUUCACAUCAUCACAGCAGCAUUUGAUGUGAGUGAAAACCCAAACGUUUGGUCCCCACAGAUGAUGUUGCUCAAGGAAGGAAUGUUGGCUUGAGCACCAGAACAUCUUUCUUUCUCUUCUCAAAUAGUGUCAUGGGAUCAUCCGCAGCCACUUGAACCAAGCAGCAGAUGACACCUUGUUUUAACAUCCCAUCAAAAAGCCAUGUAUUUGUCGUACCAGAAGAUGCAAGCAAGAAAUCUGCCAAGUCAGAAACCAGAACUCACCAAGACUUUCAGAAAUUUUUCACUCAUUAUUGCCUUGCUCAAUGCAUCUAUUGUUAUAUAUUUUAUCUUUUAGCAUGUUUGACAAAUUUUUAACCUUCACAUUGCUAUUUAAAUGUAAACAUACUUGCUUUGGUCUGCAAAUCUGUGGUCUAUUUGGAAUUAUCAACCACCCUGAAGAAUUUGGUAGUAGCAGACUAUUUCAAAUUCAUUGAGUGUAGAAACUGGCAUACUCUAUGGGCCACACAAGUAAAGUUGGGGCUGCAUCUGCCCUGAACUCAUCCUCCUGAGAGGACCUUUCGUAACCUUCUUCCUGCACAUUACCUGCUUGCCGGUAAGGCGUCCUCCGGUGCCAACUGGCGGCUUCUGGCUGUUCAAACUUCCUCUCCUGCUUGCCGGCCUGCUGCUAAUUUCCGCCUGUUCUUGGGUGGGCAACUGACCAGCUGCAUGUAGAUGAGGCAUAGGGAGUUAAAAUACCCUGGUCCUCAAAUUUAGGCCAGCUAAUGUAUUUACACUUGUCGUGCCACCCGCCAACUGGGGUUGAAAAAAGAGCAAGAUAUGAAACCUUUCAUCCCAACUAGAAGAUCACAUAUUUCAUUGCAAUGGAUAGAAUAGUUAGAAGAAUCAAAGCAGCAACGCACAAUUCUACUUGGCUGACCUAUUACGUUAAACAGGGCAGAACCGGUCUUAGAGUGUAAUUUGUUGCAGGGUAUCCCUCAAGAGAUGGGUACCAAACAGCAGUCAAAAAAGUGCAGAGGAGAGGGAUGCACAUGUCUUGAAAUGAAAAACAUAGGAACAGGAGGUCAGCCAUUUGGAUCAAGGCAGAUCCGUACCUUAACUUCAUUUAUCGGCCUUGGUUCUGCAACAAAAUCUAUCAACCUCAGUUCUGAAAUUUUCAACUGACCCCAGCCUCAACAGCUUUUUGAGGGAGUGUUAGAAAUUUCAAUUGCCCUCUGAAACACUGCUUCUUAACAUCACCCUGAACAAUCCAGCUCUAACUUCAAGGCUAUGCCCCCUUAUUCUGGACUCUUGCCAGAGAAAAUAGUUCCUCUCCAUCUAAGCCAUCAAAUCCUUUCAUCAGCUGAAACACUUCAAUUAGAUCAACUCUUAAUUUUAUACACUCAAGGGAAUACAAGUUUAUGCAACUUGCCCUCAUAAUAUAACCCUCUUAGGAAAUCAUCAAGAUCAGUUGAAAAGACAAUCGUAGAUAGGUCGUUAGUAAUGGCAGAGUUGUUUCAAGUUAAGCAAGAUAGCCAAAAGAAAUUGGUAUUAGUAUCAACUUGAUGAGUGCGAGAGAAGGACAACUGGCACUAUUGAACCAUGGAUUUGAGAGAGUGGGAUUUGAAUGAGGGGCAAACUGGGUUUGGUAACUUUGAUUUGCUUGAACUGAGUUAAAUAAGAAUGAUAGAAAGAGCAAAUACAUGCAGUGAGGCGAGGGAUUUAAGAAAAAAGGUUGGGUAAUUGGUAACCAGGAUGUGAGAAUGAUGCGCACAACCUUUGGAUUGGAAGUUCAAGUGCAAAGUUUAGGAUGGAAAUCUUGGACGAGAGAGAGAAAUGAAAAAAAUCAGUAGGUAAGUUUGAGGACAAGAACGGAAAUGAACAGACUUUAGAUUCAAGCAGUGGUACAAAUAUAUUGUAUAAGUGGCUGUCGCUUGAUCAGUUCACUCAGCAUUAGUAAAUAUGUUUUCUGCAUUAACUUGGAAUCCUGUUUCUCUUUAGUUUACACUUAUAAACUAGUUAGAAGAAUGGGCAACACUUUCAACUUUGGCUGGAAGAUAAAAUGGCCACUAUUGGACUGGCCACUCAUUAUAUACACUAAUAGGAAGAUCAACGCAAGGAAUACAAUGGAUGGUUAAUCCAAUAUUUUAUGUUUGACCUCCCCACUGAAGUUGAAAGUUCCAAAAAGCAAUCCAUUUCAUAGCCCAAAAUACCCAAGUAAAUUCUCUCCUAACUUUGGCAGAGACCUUUGUUAAAUAGGAUCUUCGAUUCCCAAAACAAAUGUAUAUUCAGCCCAAUUCAGCUUCCUUAAACUUGGCUCCCAACUUUGAUUUCCAAAUACACAUAAGCAAACUUCAGUAGCUUGGACUAGUCGUGUUGGCCACACAUUUAUAAAACCACCCAGAUUUAGUAUCAUGCUGCUAUGUGGAGUAAUUGCAUCGUUCUGCACUGAAUGCCGGGUACAUUCAGGACAGAAUAGAAGUAUCAUGCUAUUAUAAUUUGUUUCUUUGUUUGGACAGUGAGACUAGCAAUUACAAGACACUGGAUCUUAAUUAACUUGAGAAUCACAAUGUGGAGUAACGGUAACUAGGCAAUGAAUUCCACAGGCAACUAUAAACCAAAUUUUAUAAAAAGCUCAAUUGCCAAUUAUUAUCUCAAACUUAAGCUGGGAUGGUAUUCUCAAUUUGAGUCUGAACAUUAAAAUCCACCAAGAUAAUGCAAAAGGACACCAUGUUCAACAUUUAAGAGACAUUUCUUCACAUCCAGAUUUGCCAAACAUUGGAACAAUUCCCUGAAAAUCUGCAAAUUUGUGUUGCUACAUAGAAAUGGCAUGACAAAUAUUCAUUCUCAAUCAAGAGUCCCCAACCAUGCAUUACCAAUAUGCUAAUUUUAACAUUUCCCCUUCUAAAUUAAGUUAGCAGACAGUUUUAAAGACUGGCUAUGAAAAAACUGGUUUAAUAAAAUGGAGCUUUAAAAUUGUUGGCUUGGUAAGCUGUUUAGAUCAAAUUAAAGCAUAUUAGUUAAUUAACAUUGCUUUUAGUCAUUUAAACCAUCAACCUGUUCAACCCGAUUUAGCCCAUGUAAUUUCAAGGAAGCUCCUAUUCUUCAAACAAAAUCCAUCAGAGAAAUGCAACUGUGUUAAUGUUGAUAGUGCAAUGGGAUUGGAGUUGUCCGAUUGUCUGUAAUGACCAUAUCAAAAUGAUUGUAAUAUUCAUUGAUUGUAUUGAAGCACCUCGUGAUCC